GGACCCGCACAAGUAGUGGAGCAUGUGGUUUAAUUCGAAGAUACGCGCAGAACCUUACCAACACUUGACAUGUUCGUCGCGACUUUAAGAGAUUAGAGUUUUUCGGUUCGGCCGGACGAAACACAGGUGCUGCAUGGCUGUCGUCAGCUCGUGUCGUGAGAUGUUGGGUUAAGUCCCGCAACGAGCGCAACCCUCACUUUUAGUUGCCAUCAUUAAGUUGGGCACUCUGAAAGAACUGCCAGUGAUAAGCUGGAGGAAGGUGGGGAUGACGUCAAGUCCUCAUGGCCCUUACGUGUUGGGCCUACACACGUGCUACAAUGGUAUCUACAACAGGAAGCAAGACUAGCGAAGAUUAGCAAA
rnacentral:rRNA from 1 species